rnacentral:rRNA from 1 species
UAGGGAAUCUUCGGCAAUGGACGAAAGUCUGACCGAGCAACGCCGCGUGAGUGAAGAAGGUUUUCGGAUCGUAAAACUCUGUUGUUAGAGAAGAACAAGGACGUUAGUAACUGAACGUCCCCUGACGGUAUCUAACCAGAAAGCCACGGCUAACUACGUGCCAGCAGCCGCGGUAAUACGUAGGUGGCAAGCGUUGUCCGGAUUUAUUGGGCGUAAAGCGAGCGCAGGCGGUUUCUUAAGUCUGAUGUGAAAGCCCCCGGCUCAACCGGGGAGGGUCAUUGGAAACUGGGAGACUUGAGUGCAGAAGAGGAGAGUGGAAUUCCAUGUGUAGCGGUGAAAGGCGUAGAUAUAUGGAGGAAAACCAGUGGCGAAGGCGGCUCUCUGGUCUGUAACUGACGCUGAGGCUCGAAAGCGUGGGGAGCAAACAGG